CGGAUGUCUCUCAAUGCCUUAGUUCUUGUUCUACAUCAAUUGCUUAUAGGGGGCAUGCAUAUGGCCUCCUUAUUUUCCAUGAUUACUGCAAAAUCGUUGAUGAAGUCAACGGCUAAUAGUGUUCGUCAACCUUCUUGCAGGGAAAGCGCAGCAGCUUCCCCCUCGAGGUCUUCUCUUCGCAUCAAAGCACUGCAUCCAUCGCCUACUCUUCAAGAGGAGAGCCCGGCCUUCAAAGGGCUCCAGAAGGCACCCUGUAAGAAGAAAACACGAGAACACUGUAUAAAGAGGUCAUCUUUUCCCCUAUGCACCAUCAUUAUUUUAUUUUCUCGUCGUCCUUUAUUGGCUAUUUCUCAUUGAGUAGCGAAGCAUGGAAGGGGAGGUGGGAAGAACAAUCUAGCCUAGGAAGAUACCAAUUCGAAAUCAGGACAUCUCCUUUUGGAAAAAAAAAAGAAAACAUUGCAUAAAGUAAACCCUUCAGCUAGAAAUUUGAACAGCCUCCACCGAUCUUUGGUUUCCAUGGCCUUUGACCAUGAAGAAGGCAUAGGUUGACCUUGGGAAUGACGGCCACUAGUUGAGGUGACGGCCACUAGUUGAGAGGAAGAGAAUAUCUCAGGUCACACUGGGGAAGACUCGCCUGGGCACUUGCAGUAGUAGGAGCAGCAGCAGCGAAGGAAGAUGGAGAGCAGGGGGG
rnacentral:lncRNA from 1 species